rnacentral:lncRNA from 1 species
UACGACCCAGGUCUAGUGACCUUGGAGAAGAUGAAAGGAUCCUCCCAAGGCGAGUUUAGCUUGUGCAGCCCCUUGCUGUCUUGAAUACGCUUGAGGACCAUGUCUCUUGUGUUGAAUGAAAGUUCUUUGAUGUUCCGAUCAUGAUAGCGGUGAAUUCCUUCAAGGUAUCUUGCUGACUGGAUGAGUGCUGCACAAUGAGCUUCUUCGAGGCUGUCUAUGUCUAGACGCCUUGUUUCUUCGAUGGCGACC